AGAGUUUGAUCCUGGCUCAGAACGAACGCUGGCGGCGUGGAUAAGACAUGCAAGUCGAACGAUUGCCAUUGGGUAGCAAUAUUCGAUGGUGAGAGUGGCGCAAGGGUGCGUAACACGUGGGUAAUUUGCCGUGAAGUCUGGAAUAACUUGCUGAAAGGCGAGCUAACACCGGAUGUGAUUUCUGGGAGACAUCUUCCGGAACUUAAAGUCGGGGACCGCAAGGCCUGACGCUUCUCGAUAAACCCGCGACCUAUCAGCUAGUUGGUGAGGUAAUAGCCCACCAAGGCGAAGACGGGUAGCUGGUCUGAGAGGACGACCAGCCACACUGGAACUGAGACACGGUCCAGACACCUACGGGUGGCAGCAGUCGAGAAUUUUUCACAAUGGGCGAAAGCCUGAUGGAGCGACGCCGCGUGGGGGAUGAAUGGCUUCGGCCCGUAAACCCCUGUCAUUUGCGAUCAAACCUCACGACCCAACACGUCGUGAGUUGAUAGUAGCGAAAGAGGAAGGGACGGCUAACUCUGUGCCAGCAGCCGCGGUAAUACAGAGGUCCCAAGCGUUGUUCGGAUUCACUGGGCGUAAAGGGUGCGCAGGCGGUCGGGUAAGUCUGACGUGAAAUAUCGGAGCUCAACUCCGAAACUGCGUCGGAGACUAUUCGGCUAGAGGAUUGGAGGGGGGGUUGGAAUUCUCGGUGUAGCAGUGAAAUGCGUAGAUAUCGAGAGGAACACCCGUGGCGAAGGCGAACCCCUGGACAAUUCCUGACGCUGAGGCACGAAAGCUAGGGGAGCAAACAGGAUUAGAUACCCUGGUAGUC
rnacentral:rRNA from 1 species